GCUCAGAUGGUCGAGCUGGUUAAGACGUGAGAUUUAAGUAAAGGCUUUUUGCCUAAGCCUCCUCAUUGCGAAAGCAAUCGUGGGUUCGAGUCCCACUCUGAGCA
rnacentral:tRNA from 1 species